rnacentral:rRNA from 1 species
GAUGAACGCUGGCGGCGUGCCUAAUACAUGCAAGUCGAGCGAACAGACGAGGAGCUUGCUCCUCUGACGUUAGCGGCGGACGGGUGAGUAACACGUGGAUAACCUACCUAUAAGACUGGGAUCACUUCGGGAAACCGGAGCUACUACCGGAUAAUAUAUUGAACCGCAUGGUUCAAUAGUGAAAGACGGUUUUGCUGUCACUUAUCGAUCGAUCCGCGCCGCAUUAGCUAGUUGGUAAGGUAACGGCUUACCAAGGCAACGAUGCGUAGCCGACCUGAGAGGGGGAUCGGCCACACUGGAACUGAGACACGGUCCAGACGCCUACGGGAGGCAGCAGUAGGGAACCGUCCGCAAUGGUCGAAAGCUUGACGGAGCAACGGCGCGUGAGUGAUGACGGUCUUCGGAGCGUAAAACUCGGUUAUGAGUGAAGAACAAAUGUGUAAGGAACUAUGCACAUCUUGACGGUACCUAAUCAGAAAGCCACGGCUAACUACGUG